CACGUAGGCACCAAGCGUUGUCCGGAUUUAUUGGGCGUAAAGAGCUCGUAGGCGGUUUGUCGCGUCUGCUGUGAAAACUGGAGGCUCAACCUCCAGCCUGCAGUGGGUACGGGCAGACUAGAGUGCGGUAGGGGAGAUUGGAAUUCCUGGUGUAGCGGUGGAAUGCGCAGAUAUCAGGAGGAACACCGAUGGCGAAGGCAGAUCUCUGGGCCGUAACUGACGCUGAGGAGCGAAAGCAUGGGGAGCGAACAGG
rnacentral:rRNA from 1 species